rnacentral:misc_RNA from 1 species
GAUGAAGAACGUAGCGAAAUGCGAUAAGUAAUGCGAAUUGCAGAAUUCCAGUGAGUCAUCGAAUCUUUGAACGCACAUUGCGCCCUUUGGUAUUCCGAAGGGCAUGCCUGUUCGAGCGUCAUUAUCACCCCUCAAGCCCUCGGCUUGGUGUUGGACGGUUUGGUGGAGGCCCCCUCGGGGGCUCCUGCCCCUCCCAAAGACAAUGACGGCGGACUCGUUGGACCACCGGUACACUGAGUUCUUCACGGGACACGUAUCGGACACAUGGGUUUACGGGACACGGUCUGCCUCCCCUCAGGGAGAAUCUUUCUAAGGUUGACCUCGGAUCAGGUAGGGAUACCCGCUGAACUUAAGCAUAUCAAUAAGCGGAGGA